rnacentral:rRNA from 1 species
AAUGGGCGAAAGCCUGACACAGCGACGCCGCGUGCGCGAUGAAGGCCUUCGGGUUGUAAAGCGCAAUAGACAGGGACGAAGAAAGUGACGGUACCUGUUGAAAGCACCGGCUAACUACGUGCCAGCAGCCGCGGUAAUACGCAUGGUGCAAGCGUUGUUCGGAAUCACUGGGCGUAAAGAGCGCGCAGGCGGAUUGAUAAGUCAGGUGUGAAAUCUUCGGGCUCAACCCGAAGCCUGCAUUUGAAACUAUUAAUCUCGAGUCUUGGAGAGGCAGGCAGAAUUCCUGGUGUAGCGGUGAAAUGCGUAGAUAUCAGGAGGAAUACCGAUGGCGAAGGCAGCCUGCUGGACAAUGACUGACGCUGAGGCGCGAAAGCGUGGGGAGCAAA